rnacentral:misc_RNA from 1 species
GUGAAUCAUCGAAUCUUUGAACGCACAUUGCGCCCCUUGGUAUUCCAUGGGGCAUGCCUGUUCGAGCGUCAUUUGAACCCUCAAGCUCUGCUUGGUGUUGGGUGUUUGUCCCGCCAUUGCGCGUGGACUCGCCUUAAAGUGAUUGGCAGCCAUGUAAUUCGGCUUUGAGCGCAGCACAUUGCGUACUCUAUGCUGGUACAUUGGCAUCCAAAAGCCCUUUUUUUUACUCUUGACCUCGGAUCAGGUAGGGAUACCCGCUGAACUUAAGCAUAUCAAUAAGCGGAGGA